rnacentral:rRNA from 1 species
AGAGUUUGAUCAUGGCUCAGAACGAACGCUGGCGGCGUGCCUAACACAUGCAAGUCGAACGAGAAAGCCUUCGGGCAAGUAAAGUGGCGCACGGGUGAGUAACGCGUGGGUAAUCUGCCCUUCAGUCUGGGAUAACAACUCUAACGAGCUGCUAAUACCAGAUACGACAUCAACCUCUGCGGAGGAUGAUGGGAAAGAAUUUCGCUGAAGGAUGAGCCCGCGUAUCAUUAGGUAGUUGGUGGGGUAAUGGCCUACCAAGCCCGAGAUGAUUAGCUGGUCUGAGAGGACGAUCAGCCACACUGGGACUGAGACACGGCCCAGACUCCUACGGGAGGCAGCAGUGGGGAAUAUUGCGCAAUGGGGGGAACCCUGACGCAGCAACGCCGCGUGAGUGAAGAAGGUCUUCGGAUUGUAAAGCUCUGUUAAGAUAGGAAGAAUAGCCUUCGGGUUCGACGGUACUAUCUCAGGAAGCACCGGCUAACUCCGUGCCAGCAGCCGCGGUAAUACGGAGGGUGCAAGCGUUGUUCGGAAUUAUUGGGCGUAAAGCGUGCGUAGGCGGAUUAUUAAGUCUGGUGUGAAAUCCCUCGGCUCAACCGAGGACGUGCAUUGGAUACUGGUAGUCUUGAGUCCUGGAGAGGAGAGCGGAAUUCCUAGUGUAGAGGUGAAAUUCGUAGAUAUUAGGAGGAACACCAGCGGCGAAAGCGGCUCUCUGGACAGUGACUGACGCUGAGGCACGAAAGCAUAGGUAGCAAACAGGAUUAGAUACCCUGGUAGUCUAUGCCGUAAACGAUGGGUACUAGUCGGUGCGGGUAUUGACCCCUGCGCUGACGAAGCUAACGCAUUAAGUACCCCGCCUGGGGAGUAC